rnacentral:rRNA from 1 species
CCCUUUGUGACAUACCUACAACUGUUGCUUCGGCGGGUAGGGUCUCCGCGACCCUCCCGGCCUCCCGCCUCCGGGCGGGUCGGCGCCCGCCGGAGGAUAACCAAACUCUGAUUUAACGACGUUUCUUCUGAGUGGUACAAGCAAAUAAUCAAAACUUUUAACAACGGAUCUCUUGGUUCUGGCAUCGAUGAAGAACGCAGCGAAAUGCGAUAAGUAAUGUGAAUUGCAGAAUUCAGUGAAUCAUCGAAUCUUUGAACGCACAUUGCGCCCGCCAGCAUUCUGGCGGGCAUGCCUGUUCGAGCGUCAUUUCAACCCUCAAGCUCUGCUUGGUGUUGGGGCCCUACAGCCGAUGUAGGCCCUCAAAGGUAGUGGCGGACCCUCCCGGAGCCUCCUUUGCGUAGUAACUUUACGUCUCGCACUGGGAUCCGGAGGGACUCUUGCCGUAAAACCCCCCAAUUUUCCAAAGGUUGACCUCGGAUCAGGUAGGAAUACCCGCUGAACUUAAGCAUAUCAAUA